UAUGACACUUCUGCGAGAAGGG
rnacentral:miRNA from 1 species